AGGCAGCCUUAUUGCCUCAAAUCAUCAUGGCAAUAAAGGUGUUAAACUGCUCGGAUACUGAAUAUUGCUUUUCAUCUUCAGUCUUGCUGAGAUUUAUUGAUGAAGCUGGACUAGUAAGCUUUAAGCACAUU